ensembl:lncRNA
GGUGGGGGAGGGGUGGAGGACGGUGCCGGAGGAGGUGGAGACGGAGGCGUCUCCAGCGGGAGCGGGAGGGCCUGAAGGACCUGUACGCCAGCUUCAGACACGGUCACGCACAACCAAACGGCAUCAGCACAAUGAGAGUGACGGGGCAACACACGGGCAAGCGAGACUAAGUGAGUCUGAGCAUUCAUGACGUGCAGCAUGCCGUUGAUUAGAUAAAAUGGUUUAGUGCUACAAGGCGACCGUUAAGAGAUGUGCUACAAGGUGACCGUUAAGAGGUGUGCUACAAGGCGACCGUUAAGAGGUGUGCUACAAGGCGA